UACAGAGGGUGCAAGCGUUAAUCGGAGUUACUGGGCGUAAAGGGUGCGUAGGUGGUUGAUUAAGUUAGAUGUGAAAUCCCUGGGCUUAACCUAGGAACUGCAUCUAAUACUGGUUGACUAGAGUAUUGUAGAGGGUAGUGGAAUUUCCGGUGUAGCGGUGAAAUGCGUAGAGAUCGGAAGGAACACCAGUGGCGAAGGCGGCUACCUGGACAAAUACUGACACUGAGGCACGAGAGCGUGGGGAGCAAACAGG
rnacentral:rRNA from 1 species